rnacentral:rRNA from 1 species
AGCAGCCGCGGUAAUUCCAGCUCCAAUAGCGUAUAUUAAAGUUGUUGCAGUUAAAGAGCUCGUAGUUGAAUUUCGGGAUUGACACAUCGGUCGUGCCUUAAGGGGUAUGAACUGGUGUAGUCAAUUUCUCACCUUCUGGAGAACCGCGAUGUCCUUAAUUGGGUGCCGCGAGGAACCAGGGCCUUUACUUUGAAAAAAUUAGAGUGUUUAAAGCAGGCAUUUUUGCUUGAAUACAUUAGCAUGGAAUAAUAAAAUAGGACGGCAUGAUUCUAUUUUGUUGGUUUCUAGGAUCACCGUAAUGAUUAAUAGGGAUAGUUGGGGGCAUUAGUAUUCAAUUGUCAGAGGUGAAAUUCUUGGAUUUAUUGAAGACUAACUACUGCAAAAGCAUUUGCCAAGGAUGUUUUCAUUAAUCAAGAACGAAAGUUAGGGGAUCGAAGACGAUCAGAUACCGUCAUAGUCUUAACCAUAAACUAUGCCGACUAGGGAUCGGAUGAUGUUAAUUUUUUAAUGACUCAUUCGG